CGCGACGUAGCUCAGCUGGAUAGAGCGCCUCGCUUCGACAUAGUAGUAAACAGCGCACCUACUAUGGGUGAGGAGGCCGCGGGUUCAAGUCCUGCCGUCGCGCCCA
rnacentral:tRNA from 1 species